rnacentral:rRNA from 1 species
CUGCUGCCUCCCGUAGGAGUUUGGGCUGUGUCUCAGUCCCAAUGUGGCCGUCCACCCUCUCAGGUCGGCUACCGAUCGUCGCCUUGGUGGGCUGUUACCCCUCCAACUAGCUAAUCGGACGCGGAUCCAUCUCUCACCGAUUUCUCUUUCCCUCUCUCCUCAUGCGAUAAAAGAGGCUCAUGCGGUAUUAGCAGCCGUUUCCAGCUGUUAUCCCCCUGUGAAAGGCAGGUUAUCCACGCGUUACUCACCCGUCCG